rnacentral:rRNA from 1 species
CCUACGGGAGGCAGCAGUGAGGAAUAUUGGUCAAUGGUCGGGAGACUGAACCAGCCAAGCCGCGUGAGGGAUGAAGGUACAGAGUAUCGUAAACCUCUUUUGUCAGGGAACAAAGGCGGGGACGUGUCCCCGGCUGAGUGUACCUGAAGAAAAAGCAUCGGCUAACUCCGUGCCAGCAGCCGCGGUAAUACGGAGGAUGCGGGCGUUAUCCGGAUUUAUUGGGUUUAAAGGGUGCGCAGGCGGUCUGUUAAGUCAGCGGUCAAAGCCCGGGGCUCAACCCCGGCCCGCCGUUGAAACUGGCAGUCUCGAGUUGGAGAGAAGUAUGCGGAAUGCGCGGUGUAGCGGUGAAAUGCAUAGAUAUCGCGCAGAACUCCGAUUGCGAAGGCAGCAUGCCGGCUCCACACUGACGCUGAGGCACGAAAGCGUGGGUAUCGAACAGGAUUAGAUACCCCUGUAGUC